rnacentral:rRNA from 1 species
GAUGAACGCUAGCGGCGGGCUUAAUACAUGCAAGUCGAGGGGUGGUAGCAAUACUACACCGGCGCACGGGUGCGUAACGCGUAUGCAAUCUACCUUUAUCUGGGGGAUAGCCCGGGGAAACCCGGAUUAAUACCGCAUAACAAAUUUCUUGGCAUCAAGAGAUUUUAAAAGAUUUAUCGGAUAGAGAGGAGCAUGCGUAAGAUUAGAUAGUUGGCGAGGUAACGGCUCACCAAGUCUACGAUCUUUAGGGGCUCUGAGAGGAGAAUCCCCCACACUGGCACUGAGAUACGGGCCAGACUCCUACGGGAGGCAGCAGUAGGGAAUAUUGGGCAAUGGGCGCAAGCCUGACCCAGCCACGCCGCGUGCAGGAAGAAGGCCCUCUGGGUUGUAAACUGCUUUUGACUGGGAAGAAAAGACUCCUUGCGAGGAGAGUUGACGGUACCAGCAGAAUAAGCCACGGCUAACUACGUGCCAGCAGCCGCAGUAAUAC